rnacentral:ncRNA from 18 species
AUGACCUUCCAAGUUUUAUAAAGAAGUGGAUGAUAUGAUUUGCGUAGCAACUCGAACAAUUCCUCGCCUGUGAUCAGGCUGAGGUUUUAAUGGAGAAAGUGGUGCCCGCGCAGCAAAUAAUCUUGUUACAUUCUUUGAAUGCCUGGGACACUUGCUAUAAAAUUCUGAUUCUU